rnacentral:rRNA from 1 species
UUGACGGAGCGAAGCGACGUCAAACCGAUAAAACAGCAGUGUAAAGUGAGCCGCAGGGCGCUUUGCGCGACAGCGCAAAGGCAGGCGGUUUCGCGUAGCGAAAGCGAAUGCUUUGGGGUGGGGUGACUGCGUACCUUUUGUAUAAUGGGUCAGCGACUUAUAUUCUGUAGCAAGGUUAACCGAAUAGGGGAGCCGGAGGGAAACCGAGUCUUAACCGGGCGUUAAGUUGCAGGGUAUAGACCCGAAACCCGGUGAUCUAGCCAUGGGCAGGUUGAAGGUUGGGUAACACUAACUGGAGGACCGAACCGACUAAUGUUGAAAAAUUAGCGGAUGACCUGUGGCUGGGGGUGAAAGGCCAAUCAAACCGGGAGAUAGCUGGUUCUCCCCGAAAGCUAUUUAGGUAGCGCCUCGUGAAUUCAUCUCCGGGGGUAGAGCACUGUUUCGGCUAGGGGGCCAUCCCGGCUUACCAACCCGAUGCAAACUGCGAAUACCGGAGAAUGUUAUCACGGGAGACACACGGCGGGUGCUAACGUCCGUCGUGAAGAGGGAAACAACCCAGACCGCCAGCUAAGGUCCCAAAGUCAUGGUUAAGUGGGAAACGAUGUGGGAAGGCCCAGACAGCCAGGAUGUUGGCUUAGAAGCAGCCAUCAUUUAAAGAAAGCGUAAUAGCUCACUGGUCGAGUCGGCCUGCGCGGAAGAUGUAACGGGGCUAAACCAU